UACGGAGGGUGCAAGCGUUAUCCGGAUUCACUGGGUUUAAAGGGCGCGUAGGCGGCGCGGGUAGUCAUCGGUGAAAGUUCAGGGCUCAACUCUGAAUCGGCCGGUGAUACUCCCGUGCUCGAGCACUGUAGAGGCAGGUGGAAUUCCGGGUGUAGCGGUGGAAUGCGUAGAGAUCCGGAAGAACACCGGUGGCGAAGGCGGUUCUCUGGGACGGUACUGACGCUGAGACGCGAAAGCGUGGGGAGCGAACAGG
rnacentral:rRNA from 1 species